ensembl:rRNA 5S_rRNA 5S ribosomal RNA
UUUAGCAGUUGCAGCGCACUUCAGAAACCCUCCACCUUCCCCAGUUCCACCUGUAUAGAUCUGAAGCCAAGCAGGGUUGAGCCAGGUUAGUACCUGGAUGGGAGAUCUCCUGGGAAAACUAGGUUGCUGCUGGAU